AUCCAGCUGACGAGUCCCAAAUAGGACGAAACGUGCGUUAAACUGGAU
rfam:Schistosoma rodhaini strain Burundi genome assembly, scaffold: SROB_scaffold0000026